rnacentral:tRNA from 1 species
GGAGAGAUGGCCGAGUUGGUCUAAGGCGCACGACUGGAAAUCGUGUAAGGGUCAUAAGCCCUUCUGGGGUUCGAAUCCCCAUCUCUCCG